GUACCGUGAGGGAAAGGCGAAAAGAACCCCGGCGAGGGGAGUGAAAAAGAACCUGAAACCGUGUACGUACAAGCAGUGGGAGCCUCUUAAUGGGGUGACUGCGUACCUUUUGUAUAAUGGGUCAGCGACUUAUAUUCUGUAGCAAGGUUAACCGAAUAGGGGAGCCGAAGGGAAACCGAGUCUUAACUGGGCGUUAAGUUGCAGGGUAUAGACCCGAAACCCGGUGAUCUAGCCAUGGGCAGGUUGAAGGUUGGGUAACACUAACUGGAGGACCGAACCGACUAAUGUUGAAAAAUUAGCGGAUGACUUGUGGCUGGGGGUGAAAGGCCAAUCAAACCGGGAGAUAGCUGGUUCUCCCCGAAAGCUAUUUAGGUAGCGCCUCGUGAAUUCAUCUCCGGGGGUAGAGCACUGUUUCGGCAAGGGGGUCAUCCCGACUUACCAACCCGAUGCAAACUGCGAAUACCGGAGAAUGUUAUCACGGGAGACACACGGCGGGUGCUAACGUCCGUCGUGAAGAGGGAAACAACCCAGACCGCCAGCUAAGGUCCCAAAGUCAUGGUUAAGUGGGAAACGAUGUGGGAAGGCCCAGACAGCCAGGAUGUUGGCUUAGAAGCAGCCAUCAUUUAAAGAAAGCGUAAUAGCUCACUGGUCGAGUCGGCCUGCGCGGAAGAUGUAACGGGGCUAAACCAUGCACCGAAGCUGCGGCAGCGACACUAUGUGUUGUUGGGUAGGGGAGCGUUCUGUAAGCCUGUGAAGGUGUGCUGUGAGGC
rnacentral:rRNA from 1 species